UUUUGAUGCAGUGGUUAGCAUUGCUGGCUUGCAGUUCCAGGGCUCUGGGUUCAAUUCCUGGGGUACUAUCUGAAUUAAGUUUGUAUAUUCUUCCUUCUUCACAUACAGUAGGUUUCAUUCCAAUACAUUUCCAAUAAACCCACCAGUAUGUUUCUGGACUGUGGCGGGAAACCGGAGCACACGGAGGAACCCAUGUGACCACGAGGAAGCCAUGCAAACUCCACACAGAUAGCACCCCAGGUCCGAAAUUGAACGAUGGUAACCGCUGCGCACCAGGCUGCUGUAUUAUCGCUGAUCAGAAGCGCUAAACCGCGACACCUGCGCUGGUCUCACUCUGGGCGGAGAGCAGUCCCUGCUGUUGAAGCUGUGUACGUGUUUCUACUUCUUAAGCAGACUUGGAUCCCUUUUUCUCGUUUCGAUCUUCAGGGCUCACCGCUGGUUUUUCCUUCAGUCUAGAUGUUUGCUGUCGGUAUUUUCGUCUUGCUCAAUUCCGGCCCUUUUCGCAGGAUCCCACUCCGGAGUCGGGAGUACGGAUUUCGGAUGAGCCGCUUCCUUCAUUCCUGAGCGCCGAGUUUUCACACACACCCUCCUCGACAGAGCGAGAAACUCCCACCUUGGGGAGCGGGGAAUGAGACGGGGAGCGGAGCAGUCAAGAGCGGGGAGGACGAGCAGCACCAGGGCUGAUAUCAACCCGAAAGGACGGGACCGCAGAAGCCGCAGAGGACCGCAGUCACCCCGCUGCUCUCUGGAGGUGUGUGGCCGUGAGCCCGGCGUGUUGCAGGACUUGCCGACUCGCUGUACCGGGACACACGGAUCUACAGCACCGCUGCCUGGGCCUCUGGGAGGAGAGACAGGGGUCAGAGCUGCUGUCUGCUCUCAGGACAGACUGACGCUCCCAGGCACAGAUCUACAGCACCGCUGCCUGGGCCUCUGGGAGGAGAGACGGGUUAGAGCUGUUAUCCACACCACACUGUCCUCAUGGGAAACUUCAAUACCAAGGACGGGCUCCUCUCUGAAGGUAAGAGCCCGAUAUCUGCGCUCCUGCCCAGUGCGACCCUGUCCACAGGGCCUGCAUGAACACGCACUG
rnacentral:lncRNA from 1 species